rnacentral:rRNA from 1 species
AACCUGUUUUAUAAUCGACAAUCCACGUUAAUUUUCACUUAAAUUAAAAAUUUAUAUACCGCCAUCUAAAAAACUAAUUCUAUAAUAAUAUUUCAAAUAAAAAAUAAAAAGUUAGGUCAAGGUGUAAUCAAUAUUUAAGUAAAAUAUGGGUUACUUUAAAAAAAAAUUUAAGGAUCUUUAUACAAAAGUAUUUAUUAAAAAAGGAUUUAAAAGUAAUAUUAAAAUAAUAUUUUAUUAUGAUUAAGAUAAUAAAUGUGC